GCUUUUGUGGUGCAAUGGUUAGCACAUUUGGUGCAUAUUCGAGAGGACCAUGUUCGAAUCCUGGCGAGGGCA
rnacentral:tRNA from 1 species